rnacentral:rRNA from 1 species
AGAGUUUGAUCAUGGCUCAGAUUGAACGCUGGCGGCAUGCUUUACACAUGCAAGUCGAACGCGGUCGGGGGGCAACUCCUGACUGAGUGGCGAACGGGUGAGUAAUACAUCGGAACGUACCCCGUUGUGGGGGAUAACCCACCGAAAAGGUGGGCUAAUCCCAUACGCCCCGAGGGGGAAAGCGGGGGACUGAGAGGGCCUCGCGCGAUGGGAGCGGCCGAUGUCGGAUUAGCUAGUAGGUUGGGUAAAGGCUGACCUAGGCGACGAUCCGUAGCUGGUCUGAGAGGAUGAUCAGCCACACUGGGACUGAGACACGGCCCAGACUCCUACGGGAGGCAGCAGUGGGGAAUUUUGGACAAUGGGGGCAACCCUGAUCCAGCCAUGCCGCGUGAGUGAAAGAAGGCCUUCGGGUUGUAAAGCUCUUUCGGCCGGAACGAAAUCGCAUCUUCUAAUACGGGGUGUGGAUGACGGUACCGGAAGAAGAAGCACCGGCUAACUACGUGCCAGCAGCCGCGGUAAUACGUAGGGUGCGAGCGUUAAUCGGAAUUACUGGGCGUAAAGCGUGCGCAGGCGGCUCUUCAAGUCAGAUGUGAAAGCCCCGGGCUUAACCUGGGAACUGCGUUUGAAACUGGAGGGCUAGAGUGUGGCAGAGGGAGGUGGAAUUCCCGUGUAGCAGUGAAAUGCGUAGAGAUGUGGAGGAACACCGAUGGCGAAGGCAGCCUCCUGGGCCAACACUGACGCUCAGGCACGAAAGCGUGGGGAGCAAACAGGAUUAGAUACCCUAGUAGUCC